GGGGAUUUUGUUCCAACAAUCAGAAUGUGACUAAUACAGAAAAUUGGUACUGGAGAACUGAGUAUCCUGAGACUUUGCAGGAGACUGAGAUUAAGAGUGGUGGACAACACAUGACAUAGAAGUGGGGCCUAUGAAGCCCUUUGGAACUUACAUCUUACCACAACUACCCUGUGUGCUGAACUUAGAGCUACAGGAUUUAAUGUUUGUCCUACUGGAUUUUGGUCUUGCUUUAUUUCUUUUCUUUUUUACCCCAUUUUUCUCCUUCUGGAAGUGGGAAGUAUUUAACAUUCUUUUUGCUUCUCAUAGGGGCUCACAACUAUGAGUUUGUCUUGAGUUUCAGAAGAGAAUUUGGACUUGGACUUUUCAACAAUGCUAGAACUGUUAAAAAUUUAGUGACUUUUGGAGAUGGACUAAAUACAUUUUAUGUAAUGAAAUGGACCUGAGUCUUGUGGGCAGUGACAGAAUGUUCUGGUUUAAAUAUAAAAUGCUCUCAAAAUUCUCAUGUGAUUGAAAGGUGAUUGAAUCAUGAGCUGCUAUAUUCUUCAAUAGAAGCAUCCACUAAUGAUUUCAGUACUUGAAUGUGUUGUUAGCAGGUAGGGCCUAGUUGGAGGUGAGUGAAUGGGAGUGUGACUUGUAAAGUCAUACUUUUAUCCCUGGCUUCUCCCUUUUAUCUCUGCUCCUUGAUUACCAUGAGAUGAGCAAUGUUCCUCUGCCAUGCCCUUUUACGCCAUGCUAUUUCUCCCUUGAUUCUAGUCAACAAUAGACUGAAUUGCUGCUGGAAACUGUGAACCAAACAAACCAAGCCAAAUAAACCUCUCUUCUUUUAAAUUAUGGGUGUUAAAUAUUGUGUUCCAGGGGUGGAAAAGUGAAUAAUAUACUCAGCAUAAGAAUAAUUCUGUUUUUUACAAUUUGUAUCUUUGUUGUGGGCUGAGGUCAUGGGGGUGAGACCUUUGUGAUAAGAGCUUAAGAAGAGACACCUGAGAACUCACUCACUCCCUCUCUCCACUGUGUGAAGACAUAGUGAGAGGGAUCCAUCUAUAGUUAGAAAAAUAGCCCAUACUAGGCAUAGCUGCUGCUGGCACCCUGAUCCAAACUCUAAUUUUAAGAACUGGAAGAAAAUAAAUUUGGGGUCACAGUUGUUUUUGUGGCCGCCUGAACAACCCAACACAGUUCUUGAAAAUAUGCUCCUUGGGAACAUGCUCCAUGGCCCUCUCUUUGCAAAUGAAGAUAAUUAGGGUUCCUGAUGAUCAAUUCUCAACUUGCAUUUGGGUAAGAAUUUACUAGAAUAGCCAGAACCAGAGCCCAGGAAUGCCAAUUCCUACUUACAGUGUUCUUUCCAAUGCACUUCACUGAAACAAUAUAAAUGGGA
rnacentral:lncRNA from 1 species